UACGAAGGGGGCUAGCGUUGCUCGGAAUCACUGGGCGUAAAGGGUGCGUAGGCGGGUCUUUAAGUCAGGGGUGAAAUCCUGGAGCUCAACUCCAGAACUGCCUUUGAUACUGAGGAUCUUGAGUACGGGAGAGGUGAGUGGAACUGCGAGUGUAGAGGUGAAAUGCGUAGAUAUCUGGAGGAACACCGGUGGCGAAGGCGGCAUCCUGGACCGACACUGACACUGAGGAGCGAAAGCCAGGGGAGCAAACGGG
rnacentral:rRNA from 1 species